rnacentral:lncRNA from 1 species
GAAAUGGAAAUAAUAAAACUAAACAAAUUAGAAAAAAAUAACAAAUUAGAAAAAAUAAAAAGUAUUAAGUAGUUCUUGUAGAUUAAAUGGGUAAAGUGUCAGCUCAGCCAGAAAAGUACAAAUUAGUAAAUUCGUAAUUGAAUAGGCAAUACAUAAAAUCAAUGAGAUUUGAAAAGAGUUAUCAGUUUGCUGCAAAAAAUGUGAUUAAUAUAUGCCCAGCUCCUUAUAAAGAUAAAAAAUUAUGAAACUGACACUUUUAACAGAGAAUAUUCCAGAUUGGUUAUGAGAAAUAACCCACAAACUAAGAAUAACCAAUUAAAAUGGCAUUUGCUUGUGAAAGCUUUCAUGAGACUUUUCCAAACUGUCAAAGAACAUAUACUCCUGGCCGGGUGUGGUGGCUCACGCCUGUAAUCCCACCACUUUGGGAGGCCGAGGCAGGCGGAUCACAGAGUCAGGAGUUCGAGACCAGCCUGGCCAACAUGGUGAAACCCCGUCUCUACUUAAAAAAUACAAAAAUUAACCAGGCAUGGUGGCACAUGCCUGUAAUCCCAGCUACUCAGGAGGCUGAGACAGGAGAAUUGCUUGAACCCAGGAGGCAGAGGUUGCAGUGAGCCGAGAUCGAGCCACUGCACUCCAGCCUGGGUGGCAGAGCAAGACUCCAUCUCAAAAAACAAAACAAAACAAAACAAAAAACCCCUAUACUCCCAAAAUAUAGAAAAUGAUCAUAAGACACUAAUUCAUUUAAUGAAGUAAACAGGAUUUUCAUUUUAAAAAUAAAAUUAUGUAAGAAAGAUGAUGCAAGAGGAUGUAAGAUAAUGUAGGUGAUUUUUUUAUGAGUAUAGAUGCAAAAAUCCGAAUAAAAUCUUAGAAAACUGAAUAGAGAAAUAUUUUGAAUAAUUGUUCAUGUAACUCCAGAAUUUCAAAGUUGAUGUAAUAGUUACAAAACACAUUACAUUAAUAAGAAAUAAUAAAAUCUUUUGUCACUAUAAUAUAUACCAAAAAGGCAUUUAAAAUACACUUUCUAUUUCAAAAAAACUAAAAGAAUUUUUUAAAAGGGUAUGUUUUAAAACCCAACAUAAUAUUUGAUGAAGAAGAGUCGUAUAAAACCCCAGAAUAUUAGAGCUGUAUGGGGCCUUAAAAGUUAUUAAAUUCUGGCCCCAUGUUUUACAGAUGAAAAAAACACAGCCAGGAAGAUGAAAUGACUUACCCAAGGUCACUGAGCUUGAUGGUAGGUCUUUUGACUACUAGUCUGGCUCUAUUACCUGUUAGUUUCCUUAUGCAUAGAAACAAGGGUGCCACCUUCAUUACUAGUCUUCAACAUAAUACUAAAGAGCUCUUAGAAAAGGAAAGGAUCUUGAAGUAGCUGAAUCCAAUCCAUUUGCCCCUGCUUCUGCAUCUCAGGUGAGCCAUCAUCCAGUCAUUCAUCUGCUUCUGCUUCCGAUAUUUGGGGAAUCCUUUACUUAGGAGUGCUGAUCCUUUUGGAAAUCUCCACUUCUUGAAAGAUGGUUCUGUGUAAUUAACCAAAAUCUGCCUUUCUGGAUAAUCCUGGAAUUGUCACUCCAGUAGCUUCCAAGAUAGAAUGUGUGACGGUGUGCACAGGCCUCUGUUAAAGGGUAGGGGAGAAAAUUUCUAUGUAUGUUAGUUUUUUAUCUUAAAAAAAUUAGCUUUUGUGAGGCUGGGCGUGGUGGCUCACGCCUGUAAUCCCAGCACUUUGGGAGGCCGAGGCGGGCAGAUCACGAGGUCUGGAGAUUGAGACCGUCCUGGCUAACACAGUGAAACCCCGUCUCUACUAAAAAUACAAAAAAUUAGCUGGGCGUGGUGGCGGGCGCCUGUAGUCCCAGCUAUUCGGGAGGUGAGG